rnacentral:rRNA from 1 species
UCUACGGGAGGCUGCAGUGGGGAAUAUUGGACAAUGGGGGCAACCCUGAUCCAGCCAUGCCGCGUGUGUGAAGAAGGCCCUCGGGUUGUAAAGCACUUUCAGUGAGGAAGAACGCCUGGUGGUUAAUACCCAUCAGGAAAGACAUCACUCACAGAAGAAGCACCGGCUAACUCCGUGCCAGCAGCCGCGGUAAUACGGAGGGUGCGAGCGUUAAUCGGAAUUACUGGGCGUAAAGCGCGCGUAGGUGGCUUGAUAAGCCGGUUGUGAAAGCCCCGGGCUCAACCUGGGAACGGCAUCCGGAACUGUCAAGCUAGAGUGCAGGAGAGGAAGGUAGAAUUCCCGGUGUAGCGGUGAAAUGCGUAGAGAUCGGGAGGAAUACCAGUGGCGAAGGCGGCCUUCUGGACUGACACUGACACUGAGGUGCGAAAGCGUGGGUAGCAAACAGGAUUAGAUACCCGGGUAGUC